AGCGAACGCUGGCGGCAGGCCUAACACAUGCAAGUCGAACGAACUCUUCGGAGUUAGUGGCGGACGGGUGAGUAACACGUGGGAACGUGCCUUUUGGUUCGGAAUAACUCAGGGAAACUUGUGCUAAUACCGAAUGUGCCCUUCGGGGGAAAGAUUUAUCGCCAUUAGAGCGGCCCGCGUCUGAUUAGCUAGUUGGUGAGGUAACGGCUCACCAAGGCGACGAUCAGUAGCUGGUCUGAGAGGAUGACCAGCCACACUGGGACUGAGACACGGCCCAGACUCCUACGGGAGGAAGCAGUGGGGAAGCUUGCGCAAUGGGCGAAAGCCUGACGCAGCCAUGCCGCGUGAAUGAUGAAGGUCUUAGGAUUGUAAAAUUCUUUCACCGGGGACGAUAAUGACGGGACCCGGAGAAGAAACCCCGGCUAACUUCGG
rnacentral:rRNA from 1 species